rnacentral:rRNA from 1 species
GAUGAACGCUGGCGGCGUGCCUAAUACAUGCAAGUCGAGCGAACGGACGAGAAGCUUGCUUCUCUGAUGUUAGCGGCGGACGGGUGAGUAACACGUGGAUAACCUACCUAUAAGACUGGGAUAACUUCGGGAAACCGGAGCUAAUACCGGAUGAUAUUUUGAACCGCAUGGUUCAAAAGUGAAAGACGGUCUUGCUGUCACUUAUAGAUGGAUCCGCGCUGCAUUAGCUAGUUGGUAAGGUAACGGCUUACCAAGGCAACGAUGCAUAGCCGACCUGAGAGGGUGAUCGGCCACACUGGAACUGAGACACGGUCCAGACUCCUACGGGAGGCAGCAGUAGGGAAUCUUCCGCAAUGGGCGAAAGCCUGACGGAGCAACGCCGCGUGAGUGAUGAAGGUCUUCGGAUCGUAAAACUCUGUUAUCAGGGAAGAACAUAUGUGUAAGUAACUGUGCACAUCUUGACGGUACCUAAUCAGAAAGCCACGGCUAACUACGU